GACGAACGCUGGCGGCGUGCUUAACACAUGCAAGUCGAACGGAAAGGCCUCUUUCGGGGGGUACUCGAGUGGCGAACGGGUGAGUAACACGUGAGUAACCUGCCCUUGACUUUGGGUUAACUUCAGGAAACUGGGGCUAAUACCGGAUAGGAGCUCCUGCUGCAUGGUGGGGGUUGGAAAGUUUCGGCGGCUGGGGAUGGACUCGCGGCGUAUCAGCUUGGUGGUGGGGUAGUGGCUUACCAAGGCUUUGACGGGUAGCCGGCCUGAGACGGUGACCGGCCACAUUGGGACUGAGAUAAGGCCCAGACUCGUACGGGAGGCAGCAGUGGGGAAUAUUGCACAAUGGGUGGAAGCCUGAUGCAGCAACGCCGUGUGCGGGAUGACGGCCUUCGUGUUGUAAACCGCUUUCGCUCAUGACGAAGCUUUGUGUGACGGUAGUGGGUAAAGAAGCACCGGCUAACUACGUG
rnacentral:rRNA from 1 species